GACGAACGCUGGCGGCGGGCUUAACACAUGCAAGUCGAACGGAAAGGCGCUGAUUCUGUGGGGUGCUCGAACGGCGAACGGGUGAGUAAGACGUGAGUAACCUGCCCUCGACUUUGGGAUAACUUCAGGAAAAUGGGGCUAAUACCGGAUAGGAGCUCCGGAUGCAUGGAGGGGGUGGGAAAGGUUCGGCGGUUGGGGAUGGACUCGCGGCUUAUCAGCUUGUUGGGGGGGUAGUGGCUUACCAAGGCUUUGACGGGUAGCCGGCCUGGGAGGGUGACCAGCCACAUGGGGACUGCGAUACGGCCCAGACUCCUACGGGAGGCAGAGGUGGGGAAUAUUGCACAAUGGGCGGAAGUCUGAUGCAGCAACGUCGCGUGCGUGAUGACGGCCCUCGGGUUGUAAACCGCUUUCGGCUGUGACGAAGCGUGAGUGACGGUAAUGGGUAAAGAAGCACCGGCUAACUACGUG
rnacentral:rRNA from 1 species